GGAUGGAUGGCCGAGUGGUCGAAGGCGGCGGUCUUGAAAACCGUUGAGGUGCAAGCCUCCGGGGGUUCGAAUCCCUCUCCAUCCG
rnacentral:tRNA from 1 species